rnacentral:lncRNA from 1 species
CAGCCCCCUCCUCUGCUUCCGUUUCUUGGUCACCUUCACCUCCUGCUCCUGAAUUGGAGUUUCAGCAGCAACAAAUGUCUGCUGCACGCACUUGCACUUUUUCUUCUUCUUCGCCAUCAUGGCCUCCUCCCCAUGCUCCUCCUCAAAUGUAGGAUUUUGGGCAAAAGGCAACACAUCCAACUUGUGCUCUUUACUAGGCCUGUUCCUCUCCCUUAUCAUCGCCGCGGCCUCUGCCAACGUUAGGAUUUCGGGCGCCGGGGGCUGAAGGAGUGGGGCAGCUGGUAGAGGGUUACAGGCAUGGCCGAGGUGAAAUGGCAAUGGCGAGUUGCCUGAUGGCUCCUGGGAUUGGUCAGAUGGUUGUUUCUUGAUCAUCUUCAUCUCCUGCUCCCGAAUUGGGGCCUCAGCAGCAACAUAUGUAGAAGGAGAUAGAAACCUCUGCUCCAAGCGCUUGUGCUCCUUCUUCUUCUUCUUCCCUCGCUCCUCCUCAAAGGUAGGAUUUGGGGCAAAAGGCAACACAUCCAACUUGAGCUCUUUACUAGGCAUGUUCUUCUCCCUUAUCAUCCCCGCAGCCUCUGCCAACGUUAGGAUUUCGGGCGCCGGGGGCUGAAGGCGUGGGGCAGCUGGUAGAGGGUUACAGGCAUGGCCGAGGUGAAGUGGCAACGGCGAGUUGCCUGAUGGCUCCUGGGAUUGGUCGGAUGAUUGUUUCUUGAUCAUCUUCAUCUCCUGCUCCCGAAUUGGGGCCUCAGCAGCAACAGCUGUAGAAGGAGAUAGAAACCUCUGCUCCACACGCUUGUGCUUCUUCUUCUUCCCUCGCUCCUCCUCAAAGGUAGGAUUUGGGGCAAAAGGAAGCGCCUCCACCUUGUGCUCUUUACUAGGCCUGUUCAUCUCCCUUAUCAUCGCCGCCGCCUCUGUCAACGUUAGGAUUUCGGGCGCCGGGGGCUGAAGGAGUGGGGCAGCUGGUAGAGGGUUACAGGCAUGGCCGAGGUGAAGUGGCAAUGGCGAGUUGCCUGAUGGCUCCUGGGAUUGGUCGGAUGGUUGUUUCUUGAUAAUCUUCAUCUCCUGCUCCCGAAUUGGGGCCUCAGCAGCAACAGAUGUAGAAGGAGAUAGAAACCUCUGCUCCACACGCUUGUGCUCCUUCUUCUUCUUCUUCCCUCGCUCCUCCUCAAAGGUAGGAUUUUGGGCAAAAGGCAACACAUCCAACCUGUGCUCUUUACUAGGCCUGUUCCUCUCCCUUAUCAUCGCCACCGCCUCUGUCAACGUUAGGAUUUCGGGAGCGGGGGAGCGAAGGCAUGGGUUACAGGCAUGACCGGAGUGAAGUGGCA